GGUUUUAGUAUUAUUGUUUACUUGGUCAAGACAGGGACAAGCUAAUAAUCACUGCUACAUUAAGGAAAUGCAAUAAAACACCGUCAAAGCAGGCGCGCCUGGCGUUUACAGUAAAAAGAGAAGAGGUCCGUGAAGGGACAAUAUCAGGUCACAGCUAAAUCUCCGGCGUUAGCACUAUUUUGUCGCUUCUAGCUGAGGAAAAUGUAAAACAAGUGACUAACAUGAUACAUGGCUAGAAAGCGCCUUUGAGCAUAAGCAUGAGAUUAGCUGGCUGGUAGUCCGAAGGCAAGCCUGACCUGAUCCAGAUCCGGGCCACCUGUGUGAGCUAUGCUGCCCUCCCGUCUGCCUCCUGUCCUGUCUCCAGGCAGUGGUCACCAGGCAGCCUUUUGCCACUUCUUCGCUGUCCAACCAUUUCCCCAACCAGCUACAAGACAAUCCCUGGUCCCUGAGCACACUGUCGUUUCCCCUCGGGUCCAUUAUCAGAUCCUCUCUGUAGGUUCCCAGCAGCUGCAGUUAUUGUAGAAGUCUUUACUUUUAUGGUCCCAUGAUGUCUGUGACAACA